AGGAGCAGAUGAGACCUAACACAGUCCAGAUUCAGUUUGCCACGCACCAGUACAAGAGCUGCUGUGCAGGCUGUGCAAGGUGAGCCACCCCAGGGGGAUGGUUAGCUGGUGAGGUGUGGGACAAAGGGUUUCAGAACCAUGAGACGUCAUUAGGAGCCCUUUACAAGAUGGGAAGUCAUGAGAGCGUUGUUGGGAAAUGCUGGUAAAUAGUGGAGUCAUUCCUUGGGCUGUACCAGUGUCUGUUGGUUAUAAUGAAGUCUGUCUGGGUAUGUCUUGCUUGUAUGACAAAUUCUCUGAGAUUCAAAUAAAGAGCAGCAGGAGGAAUUCCCAAGGCCAGUAAGCCACUCAAGGACACAAGUGAGCAUAGCAGCUCACAGAAGGCAUCCCAGUACUUGUGCUGUUCUAAAGGCAUUGGGAAGCAGCCAGCAGCUGCACAGCAGCUAUUUGCAGAACUUGAAGAUCUGCUCUUUCUUUUGUUCCUCCAUAGUUUGUCCUCUUUCCUAGAAACCUGGCUCACACACCCCAGACUCUGAGAAGCCACUCUUGGGCAACCAUUUCCUUCAGCUGACACUGAUUGCAUUCAGCUGUUCCAAAUCUGGUCUGAAAUCACCUGGCCUUAAUUUAAGUAGCAAACAAAGGCAGCCCUCCUUAUAGGUGUGCUGCAGUUUCAUUGGGGGUUGAGUUCCAUGAAGAAGAAGCGUACUGAGUGUUGUGCCUUAACAAAAGCAGCAUGCAUCCUACAAAGAAAUAAGGCCAACAUGUGCAGAAGUCAGCAGGCAGCCCAGCUUCACCUCAGUACCUAUUUCUGUUCUUACUUGAAAUGACUGGUUCCCUGCAGAGGAAUUACUGCCACUGCCCAUCUGCUGCAGGGGAAAAAUCUUUAUGGCUCACCUAGCUUAAACCAAAUCAGUGCUCAAGUGGUUUACUGACUUAUUAACAACACUUAAUUAACUGGCAACCGAUGAACUGCACAUUCAAGAUCAAUAUCAGCAAUGCUACAGGUCAUCUGCUUUCUUCACAUUGCCAUGCUGUCUUCAAAGGGCACAUGGAUAUCCAGCCCUCUUGAAGCCUUCUCUGCAAGGCCUUCAUACCCACAAGGAAAGAUGAAGGAGAAGAGCUGUGUCCUGGUGCUUGCUUCUGUAACAACCACUCAGAUGAGUUUCCAGAGAAGGCGAGUUCUCCCUGCUACUAUGGAAAGAAUCCUAGGGAAAAGACCUAUGGAGAAGGGAGCUGAGAGAUGAGCUGUUCCCGAUGAGUGCCACGCGCCAUCACCGAUGCUUUAGAAGGAAGCACGGCCUGUCUUAAGCCCUCCUCUGAGCCAACAAGAAAAUCAAGUAUUUUUAAAGGCAGCUCCUUCAAGAUGAAGAUCUUGUCAACAGCUGAAAGAAGUCAUCAAAGUAGCGGCCUUGAGGAGAUAAACUACUGCAGGAGCCAUCAGUUCAUCAGUGCAGCUCUUCUUGUUGCCUGACAGUCACAGUGCAGUUGUCACUGCUCUGCCCAUUCUGCUCCCUGUUCUUUGUAACCUGCUUCAGGAGUGGAGAUUACAGAGCCCCUUCAUUAUUGCCUUUACCAGGUGCUCAACCCAAGCAGAGAUAUCUGCUAUAAUAGCUAUUUAAGAUAUGUGAGUCUCCUGACUCCAUCACUCCAGGAUGGUAUUUGGGUAUAGUAUGAAAUGCAUUACGUGGCUGGCUGAAUUCAGAAAUUAAUGGUUUUGUAAGAAAGAAUAGCAUUAUUGAUCUUCUUGAAUUUAAAGAGGGAGAGAAUCUGGAAUCCAAAAGAUAUUUUUAUGUCAUAAAUACCUAUAAGGAUAGGGAAGAAAACGAGGGCCAGCUCUGUGGCUAUCUGCAUAAAAACUGGAAUUUUGGCUCUAGAUGUAGCACAAUCUUUAAAUAGGCAUCUCCAUGUCUCCUGGAGGACUCAGAGACAUGGUCAGAAGCUUGUAAGCAUUGAGACAUCGAUGCCUCUCUCUCUCUUGU